rnacentral:rRNA from 1 species
UAUCACCGGCGGACGGGUGCGUAACGCGUACACAACGUGCCCAAGGGCGGAGGAAAGCGGCGGGAAACUGCCGGUAAUACUCCAUGGUGUUGUUGGAUGGCAUCAUUUAACAACUAAAGUACAAGCGCCCUUGGAUCGGUGUGCGUUCGAUUAGCUAGUUGGCGGGGUAACGGCCCACCAAGGCUACGAUCGAUAGGGGGUGUGAGAGCAUGGCCCCCCACACGGGUACUGGGACACGGACCCGACUCCUACGGGAGGCAGCAGUAAGGAAUAUUGGACAAUGGGCGGAAGCCUGAUCCAGCCAUGCCGCGUGAAGGACGAAGGUGCUCAGCGUUGUAAACUUCUUUUGGAUGGGAACAAUAACCGAGACUUGUCUUGGCUUGAGGGUACCAUCAGAAUAAGCACCGGCUAACUCCGUGCCAGCAGCCGCGGUAAUA